AUCUUGGUUCAGGACGAACGCUGGCGGCGUGCCUAAUACAUGCAAGUCGAACGGUCUUUCUAUGGAAGCUUGCUUCCACUGAGAAGAUAGUGGCGAACGGGUGAGUAACACGUGGGUAACCUGCCCAUAAGAGGGGGAUAACAUCCGGAAACGGGUGCUAAUACCGCAUAGUUUUCUUGAUCGCAUGAUCGGGAAAGGAAAGACGGCCUUUGUGCUGUCGCUUAUGGAUGGACCCGCGGCGUAUUAGUUAGUUGGUGAGGUAACGGCUCACCAAGACGAUGAUACGUAGCCGACCUGAGAGGGUGAUCGGCCACAUUGGGACUGAGACACGGCCCAAACUCCUACGGGAGGCAGCAGUAGGGAAUCUUCCGCAAUGGACGAAAGUCUGACGGAGCAACGCCGCGUGAGUGAAGAAAGGUUUUCGGAUCGUAAAACUCUGUUGUCAGAGAAGAACAAGUUGGAGAGUAACUGCUCCAGCCUUGACGGUAUCUGACCAGAAAGCCACGGCUAACUACGUGCCAGCCGCAGC
rnacentral:rRNA from 1 species